UUAGAGUUCCUCCUUUACACGAACUCCUCCGGGCUCCAUCUCUCAUGCGAAUUACAGUCCACCAUCUUCAGGGCUUCAAAAUUGUCAAAAUCCGUUCCCAGCUAGAUGAUAAGCUCUUUAAGGACCUCUUCUCCCGCCUCGAAGAAGAAACACGAGGAAAGGGAAUGGCUAGGUGUGAGUUUCAAGCCAGAGAACUUCAUUCCUGGCCUUGUCAUAGGAUUCAUUUUGGGCAUAAUAUUGGAUUUCUCUAAGCCAGCUAAAAGCUCCGGUGGCAGGAAACUUGGUGGCCAACCGCUUGCCAAAAAUCAACGGCUGCAAAAAAAUCUGUCGACCGCCGCUGACGAAGAGCUCAAAAUGGUUUUAGUAGUUAGAAAUGACCUUAAGAUGGGAGCUGGAAAGAUUGCGUCUCAAUGCGCUCAUGCUGCCACCGGAAUGUAUGCUGAACUUAUGCAAAGCCACCGGUCCCUUCUGAGGCAAUGGGAGCAAUGCGGGCAGGCGAAAAUAGUCUUGACGUGCAAGAAUCAGCAAGAAAUGAAUAAGGUUAGGGAUGCUGCUGAAAGCAUCGGCCUCCCAACGUUCUUGGUCGCUGAUGCAGGACGAACUCAGGUUUCUGCUGGAUCGACAACUGUUCUAGCUGUCGGACCUGGAAAUAAAUCAGCUGUGGAUUCAGUAACUGGGAAGUUGAGAUUGCUCUGAUGCUUUUUCUCUGCUUUUGCAUUCACAAAAGUUGCUGUUUUGGCUCUCUUAGUAAUGUCCUCGGUGAAAAACAAACACAAAUUUCAAUAAGCAUGCCUUGUAAGUACUCAUCGACUGAUUUCCUAAUUAUGUUAAAACAUAAUGUCAUCACAACGAAUUUUCUAGUCUAAAUAGUCUCGCGAACGAACUAGAGUAGCCCAGUUCAAUUUAACAAUCAGGUAUGUUUCACAUGCUUACCUAAACAACAAUAAAGAAGUAGGAAUGAGAGAGAAAAAAAAAAAAAACUCCUAUAAUCGUAGGGCGUAGGAUGCAGAAGGCC